GGCAACGGAUAUCUCGGCUCUCGCAUCGAUGAAGAACGUAGCGAAAUGCGAUACUUGGUGUGAAUUGCAGAAUCCCGUGAACCAUCGAGUUUUUGAACGCAAGUUGCGCCCAAAGCUUCUGGCUGAAGGCACGUCUGCCUGGGCGU
rnacentral:rRNA from 1 species